rnacentral:lncRNA from 1 species
CCCCAGUUUUAUUUAUGUAUUCAUCUUCCCCUGGGAAGCCUGUGCUCCAGAAAGGUAAACUCAUUCAUAGACCCAGGUGAGGGUAUCUUGAUUAGUUAGUACAUCUAUUUCCCUUGCCAAUGACUGGUUUAAGGAGGUGCGGUCACCCAAUCCUGGCCAGCGAAACAUGAAGAAAAGUCUGUGGAUGGGCUUCAAGGAAAUGGUCAUCACCUAUACAAAGAGACAUACUGGAAGGAAUGACCUUGUUUUUCCAAUGAACACUGUCAUUACUUCAUGCUAUACCUGGAACUUCGGCAGCAGUCAUUCUCAAACCUUUGGGACAAGGCCACCAUGUAAGAGGAAUACUGAAAGAACCUGAGUUCCUGGUAUCAUCACUGAGCCCCUGAAUUACCAGAUGCUGAAAACUGCUUUGUGCCUGGACAUUUUUUUUUUUAAAUUCCUUGUUUCUUACAGCAUUUUGUUUCUUACACUAAAACUACAAAAAUUAGCUAGGCAUGGUGGCACACACCUGUAACCCCAGCUACUCAGGGGGCUGAGGCAGGAGAAUCCUUUGAAUUUGGGAGGCAGGGGUUGCAGUGAGCUGAGACUGCACCACUGCACUCCAGCCUGGGCAAAAGAGUGAGACUCUAUCUCAAAACAAACAAACGAACAAA